AAAAAGGGCUUCUGUCGUGAGUGGCACACGUAGGGCAGCUUGAUUGCUCUAUGUGCGGAAUCGACAUCAAGAGAUUUCGGAAGCAUAAUUUUUUGGUACCUGGGCAGCUAGUAAUUGUUGGUCCUGGCACCCUA